rnacentral:rRNA from 1 species
GACGAACGCUGGCGGCGUGCCUAAUACAUGCAAGUAGAACGCACAGUUUAUACCGUAGCUUGCUACACCAUAAACUGUGAGUUGCGAACGGGUGAGUAACGCGUAGGUAACCUGCCUGGUAGCGGGGGAUAACUAUUGGAAACGAUAGCUAAUACCGCAUAAUAUUGAUUAUUGCAUGAUAAUUGAUUGAAAGAUGCUAUUGCAUCACUACCAGAUGGACCUGCGUUGUAUUAGCUAGUAGGUGAGGUAACGGCUCACCUAGGCGACGAUACAUAGCCGACCUGAGAGGGUGAUCGGCCACACUGGACUGAGACACGGCCCAGACUCCUACGGGAGGCAGCAGUAGGGAAUCUUCGGCAAUGGACGAAAGUCUGACCGGGCAACGCCGCGUGAGUGAAGAAGGUUUUCGGAUCGUAAAGCUCUGUUGUAAGAGAAGAACGGGUGUGAGAGUGGAAAGUUCACACUGUGACGGUAUCUUACCAGAAAGGGACGGCUAACUACGUG